UUGAAGUUGUUAUGAGGCCGGACAAAAUGUUGAUUGCAAGAAUCGAAUUCCCUGUAACAGAAGGGGAAAGCAUUUCUUUUCUCCUGUUGAGAUGAAUGAUCCUCCUUCAAGCACCAAGGACAAGGAUGGUAUUUUGCAAAGUGAAAUAUUUUAUACACCACAAGCCUUCUUAGACUUCUGUGUAUAUAAUCAUUUACAAUUUGAUACCUUACGCCGUGCAAAGCAUUCCUCUUUUGUGAUCAUUGAUACUCUUCAGGACAAUUUCCGUAAGAGCUUACAUUGUCAGCCACUAAAGGGUCAAGUGGAAAAUAACUAGGUGAGCAGAAAAGGGGUUUGUUGAACAUACCUGUUAAAAUAUGUUGCUAAGUUGAAUCACUAAGAAGUUGUGAAAGGACCCAUUCUGGGGUUUCUAUUGAUUGAUAAAUAUGUAGUUCGCUACAUUUGUUU